rnacentral:lncRNA from 1 species
AAACAGUUGAUGAUCCCUGCCACCAUAGAGCUUGCUUCAAGUUGCUUCUGAGUUAACUUUCUAUGGACCAUCUGAACUGUUUACAUACAUCCCAUCCUCGAGCACUUUUCCUGUGCAGCUUCCCAAGGGGGAAAUUUUUUCUCCCUGGCUACAUGAUCCAGGACUGUUUCUGCCAUGCGUGUUACUCAUUGCCAUGGUGCUUAUGACAGUGAAGGAAAGAGUCUCACUUUGUCGCCCAGGCUGGAGUACAGUGGUGCGAUCUUGGCUCUCUGCAACCUCUGCCUCCCAGGUUCAAGUAAUUCUCCUGCCUCAGCCUCCCGAGUAGCUGGUACUACAGGCACACAUUUGUAGAGAUGGUGUUUCCCCAUGUCAUCCAGGCUGGUCUGGAACUCCUGGGAUCAAGUAAUCCACCCGCCUCGGCCUCCCAAAGUGCUGGGAUUACAGACGUGAGCCACCACGCCCUGCCAAUAAAAAGAUUAUCUCCAGAUGCUGGAAUGACCAGUAAUUUAUUUUCUUCCUUUUUUUUUGUCUGCACUUUCUACCAUAAUCAUAUGUUAGCUUCUUACUAAGAAGAAAAGUCAAUGUUAUUUCCCUGAAAAAGUAAUGUUGUUUGGUUAUUAAACAAAUUUAAUUUUCUAAACAAGAGUACGACAGGUAAACUGCCUACCUUAAAAGCAAACGAACACAAAUAAAUAAACUAACCAUCUUCCACUUCAGUCUCUGUCCUUUCACCAGAGUUGCUGAUCAGCCCAGAAUGGACUGAUUUGAAUUUGCUUAGUUGUUCAUUCAUUCAUUUAUUU